rnacentral:rRNA from 1 species
AUUGAACGCUAGCGGGAUGCCUUACACAUGCAAGUCGAACGGAGUGGCGAACGGGUGAGUAAUGUAUCGGAACGUGCCCCGUAGCGGGGGAUAACUACGCGAAAGCGUAGCUAAUACCGCCUACUAUUGGAGCGGCCGAUAUGGGAUUAGCUAGUUGGUGGGGUAACGGCUCCCAAAGGCGACGAUCCGUAGCAGGUUUGAGCGGAUGACCAGCCACACUGGGACUGAGAGACGGCCCAGACGCCUACGUGAGGCAGCAGGGGGGAAUUGUGGACAAUGGGGGAAACCCUGAUCCAGCCAUCCCGCGUGGGCGAUGAAGGCCUUCGGGUUGUAAAGCACUUUUGGCAGGAAAGCGGUACCUGCAGAAUAAGCACCGGCUAACUACGUGCCAGCAGCCGCGGUAAUAC